rnacentral:ncRNA from 1 species
UACUUAAUAUAUUCAUAUUAAAGUUUGAUUCUUGCUUGUAGAUUAAUUAUUUAAAAAUUUUAUAUGUAAUAUUUUAAUAUUAUUAUUUUUUUAAAAUUAAAAUUUUUAUGUUCAGUAAAAAAUAUUAUACAACUAAUUUUAUGUAUAGUUAUUAAUUUUAUUAUUGAUUAAAUUUGUGCCAGCCUUCGCGGUUAUACAAUAAUUUAAAAUUAAUCUUUUUGGUAAAAAUAAAAUUUUAAAUUUUAAAAAAUAUAAUAAAUGGUUUUAUUGGGGGGUAAAAUCUUUUAUUCUAUUUUUUAAUUUUUAAAUUAUUUUAUCCUAAAUUAUUAUUCACCUGGAUUAGAUACCCAGUUAUUUAUUGUUAUUUUUCCUAGGUAGUAUUAGUUUAAACUUAAAGAAUUUGGCGGUAAACUAUCUUUUUAGAGGAAUCUGUGUCGUAAUUGACAGUCCACAAUUAAUUUACUUCUUUAUAUAUUUAUAUAUCGUUGUUUAAAGAAAUUAUUUAAUAAUAAUUUCGAUAUUUUCAAUAAAAUCAUAAAUCAAAUCAAGGUUUAAUUUUAAGAAAGUAAGCAUGGAUUACAUUCAUUUAUAAUGACGUCUUAACACAUUUAAUUGUUUUAUCAAGUUGGAUUUAUAAGUAAAUUUUUAUAAUUUUUUAAUAUUGAAAUAGCUCUAGUUUAUGUACACAUCGCCCGUCAUUCUCUUUUUAAAAUGAGACAAGUCGUAACAAAGUAGGCCUGCUGGAAAGGAUGUCUUGUAU